UAGGUGUUUAAUUCGCUAUCGCAUAGCACUAUUUAGGUUUGUAAUAUUCAUGUUUAUAUGCAUUCAUAUGCAUAAUGCAUUUCAUUCAGGUACGUUAAUUAAUCGCGUGAUGCGGAAGAAAAACCAAGUCGACCCCAAGCGUGGGCUAAUCUGCAAGCUGAAGCUGAUGAAUCAACCUGAAGAUGGUUAAAUCAAGCAAGUGCUCGGUCAAAGAAUACUCGUCAAGCGGACGUCACCUAACAACACUAACCUAGUGUUACUCAGGCAAGCCCCGGUGCAUGCAACCCCUUUCCUUGUGUUUUUAAAUACUUUUCGCACACUUUAAGUCUAGUGAAAUGUGCAUUAAGUUUAUAGGAAUUGCUUGAAACCCUUUGAUGCAUUGCUUUCCUUGGUAUCCAUACCUUUAUCGAUACUUCUGUGAAGUAUCAAAAUUAUGAUUUACAAAAAUGCUUAACCUUGCUUAGAUCUUGUGGAUAGAGGUUGUCCUCAAUUUAACCCGGGAGAGGAUGGCUUCUACCUGCAAGAAUAUUUUCAUUUGGAGCAAUAGUGGGAUCUUACUGCAAAGUUCCCUGUGAUGCUCUUUCAUCCUAAGGAACAGACACAAUCCUAAGGAUGGAAAUACUUAAAUUGAGACUUGGGGUAGGAACAGGUGAUGUUCUACCCAGGUUGAUUAAGGAUUAACGCGUAUGUAGGCUUGAUGAUCGAGGACCCUUUAACUGGUCACAUGCCUCGUCAUGGGUAAGCCUUGCCUCGGGCAGACUAAGGCCGGAAUAAGAUAACACGAAAUGGGCGUGGAGCGGUGGCGAGAGUAGCGUGUACCCUCCGUGGCAAGAGGCUGGACGGUGGUGUAUCUGUGCUCUCGGUUUGCGUGAACCUGAUCCGGUCUUAAGAACCCCGGUGGCGGGUUGACAUAUGCAAGGGUUAAGUGCUACAUAUGUCGUGUGAUUGGAGAUCCUCAGCUGAGUAUAAUCGAUUCGGAUCGCCGUACCUUCGCGGUUAUGAAGACUUGGUCACUGCCCUGCAACCUAAAGUCAGGAUGUGAACACUAUGGAUAAAAAUGAUGUUGUAUUGAUGAGAUGGAAAUUAGACUAGAUGCAAAUGGAGUCUAUUAAUACUUAAUAUGGCGUUAAAAGAUUGAAAGUAAGGACUCACGUUAGUAAGCUACUUCUGCAAAAAUAUAAGUUGAUUUUUGCUAAAGCCUCUCCUUGACUCCUAUUUAUCCAGCAUACCCUUGAGAGUCUUUUCCUUAGUCGGGUAAGACUUGCUGAGUAAUUCCAUACUCAGGGUUUUAUUCCCUGUUGUUUUUCAGGUCCUAGUUUUGUGCUGCUGAUGAUGGUGUUAAGUGCCGGUGGGCUCGGCCUUCUUAUAAGUUUAAGUAACUCCCUUAUACUUCUUAUUGAGGAUGGUCUUUUGAGCUAGCAUAUAUUUCAAACUUAUAACCACUCCGAUAGAAUAAUAUAAAAUUUUUGUAACUUGUAAAAUUUGGUAAUAAGAUUUCCGCUGCAAUAAUAUUGUUGUGUGUGAUUUGUGUUACUUAAUCCCGCGGUUCUGGUUGUAAGUGGUUUAUCCGAUGUCCUUGGGGUAAUCGGACGGAUCCUGUUAAGUUAUUUGGUGCACAUGCAUAGUCGUCUGAGGUCUUUGAGACAAGGACAGGUGCAUGUGGGCCCAAUAACUUGGGAGGUUCUGCCACAGCUGGUAUCGGAGCAGGAUUAAGUAUAUACGGUCACAUACGUAUUUUCAAAACAAAAGUUUUGGUUUCGAAAAACCUAUUUUCAACUAAAAACAUUGAUUGGCUUUAAAAAAACAGUUUUCAAAAACUAUAAUGCUAGCGACAUCCUCUGUUAAGCCCUAAACUAAGGACUAUCAGGUGGCUUAGUUGAAAACCAUAACCCAUAAUCGGGUGGGUAUUGCAUACAUGUGUAUUGUUAUUUUUGAGGCCAUUCAGUUUUGAAUGGAUCGACGGUUAAGGUAAGGUGAGAUGUGAGAGCAUGACCGAACAACCGUCGGUCUAGGGAAGUGUUUAAUUGUUGCGCUUGAUUAUAUACAUGUUCCACAUAUGUAUAUAUGAAGGCUGCGAUAUGGAGUAAUUACUUUUCUGGGAAUUCAGUACCCCGUGAAUGUGUAUGGGUAUACAGACAUGGGAAUACUGAGAAGUGUAAUGUACUUGUAACGACGCACCUACGCUCAGGUAAGAAGGUGAGUUACCAUAAUGACACUACAGGAAACGCAUAAAUUUUCGUGGGCCUAGCUAUUUUCGUCGGUCGGCCCACGAAAUUACAUAGUUAUUUUCGUCGGCUCUCGGGACCGACGAAAAUUUGGCUUAUUUUCGUGGGCCAGUACAUAUUUUCGUCGGCCGACCCACGAAAAUAGGAAAUAUAUUUUCGUCGGCCCCGGGGCCGACGAAAAUAAGCUGUAUUUUCGUCGGUCAUAGCUAGACCGACGAAAAUAAGUCAAUUAUUUUCGUCGGCCUUCUCCCGGCCGACGAAAAUAAGGCAUUAACUGACCACUAUUUUCGUCGGCCUCAGUGAGGCCGACGAAAAUAGUGGUCCGUUAAUCGGCCUCAGCCCACUUUCUCUCUCUCGCUCGUCUCGCACUUCUUAUUUGCGCCGCCGCCCGCCCGCUCUCCGUCUCCGCGCCGCCGUCGGGUCCUCCCUCGCCGCUGCAACGCCGCCCGCCCGCCCGUCCUCCCUCGCCGCUGCAGCGCCGCGCGCCCGCGCCUGCCGCGCCGCCGCUGCGCGCCCUCCGCUGCGAGCCGCCGCUGCGCGCCCGCCCGCCGCUGCGCGCCCUCCGCUGCGAGCCCGCCUCUGCGCGCCCGCCGCGCGCCCGCCUCUGCCCACCGGCGAUCACCGCCUCUGCCCCAUCGCGCCCGCUGCGCGCCCGCCGCGCGCCCGCCUCGCCCGUGCAGCUCCGGCGACACGCGCCCCCACUGCUCGGCAGCCUCGCCCCCACCACCGCCCUCGGCCCGAGAGCCUCGGGCACCGGCUCUCUCCACCGCCGUCCCCCGCCGCAGCCGCACCGAGCUCUGCCUCGCCUCCUAGUCCGACAGGUAAAAUUUUAAAUUUUUUUAGUUACUUAGCUCAUGGUAAAGUAUAUUGUUUAAUAUAGCAUUAUGUUAAACUAACUAUAUAGUGAUUAUAUAGUUAGGAAAUUGUUAGUAUAUUGGAUGAAGGAAAGUCAGUGAGUAUAUAGUUAGCAUAUACUUGUAGCAUAUUGUUUAGCAUAUACUUGUAGCAUAUUGUUUAGCAUAUACUGGUCAACAUAUUGUUUAGCAUAUACUGGUCAGCAUAUUGUUUAUUAUGUAGCUAUCGUGUAGUUUUCUGUGUUGGCAACCAUCGUGUUGUCGUUUAUUUGCAGGUUUUAGAAACAUCACUUUAUAGGGGAGGUGCUGCCGAAUUUUUUAUUAACAAUAAUAUUUUUUGUACAUAGGUGUUCUUCCGACUUGACCUUCUCCACCGUUAGCUAGACUCGUACAUUAUUCUCAGGUAUACAUUGUUUUUGUAAUUUGUCAUGUAUACAUUAUUCUCAGUUUUAAUCGUUAACCGUAGCGAACCGUAUGCGUCACCCGUUCGGGAACGGCGAACGUCACAUUGGCUUGUGAGGUUCGUCACAGCCUCCUCCUCACCAUGGAUCACAGGUGACGUUCCAUGUUUAGUUUUAUGCAAAUAUUGACCAAACACAGCAAUGUAUAGGUAUAGGGAUAGCAAAAUAUAGCCUUAUUUGAAUGAUUGAUGAAUUGCAGGAUUCAGCGUCACAUGCUCAUGGAUCGGAGGGUGGUGUCAACGUCCAAGACUUCCUCGUCCAUGGUGCUGGAGGGAGUGGCCACCUUCCUGGUGGCGGAGGAGGGAGUGGCCAAAACUCCCACAGCCCGCCGGAGUGAGGAGUGAGUAGUGAGUGUGUACUAUGGACUGUUUAUGGACUUAUGGACUAUUUAUGGACUCUGGACUUAUUUGAAUGGACUAUGGAAUGUGUUUUGUGAAUUAUGUGAAUGUGUUUUGUGAAUUAUGUAUUUUGCUUGUGAAUGUGUAUAUGUUAAUUGUGAUAAUGUUUAUUUUGCUGUGAAUUAUUAAUAGGUGCAGAAAAAUCUGUUUGGGGGGGGAACAUCAAUUUUCGUCGGCCUCGGUGGUGGCCGACGAAAAUAAGUUCUCAGGCUAUUUUCGUCGGCCUCAGUGGUGGCCGACGAAAAUAGCCUGGGAACUUAUUUUCGUCGGCCACCACCGAGGCUGACGAAAAUAGUUGGUCCACUCACUAUUUUCGUCGGCCUUGGGAAAGCCGACGAAAAUAGAUAAAUUUCGUCGGGACCGACGAAAAUAGUUGCCUAAUUUCGUCGAAUUUAUUUUCGGCGGCUAUUUUCGUCGGCCUGCCGACGAAAAUAUUCUAUUUUCGUCGGUUUAGGCUUAUUUUCGUGGGUUUUUGGCCCACGAAAAUUUAGGCGUUUCCUGUAGUGUGAGUUGCCCUAUGGUUAAAGUGUGGCAACGGCGCCUAUGCGUGGCUCGGCGCUUAAUGAUGAGCUGGCCUCCAUAUAGCAAUAUAUGGAGUAUAAACUGUGAUAAAAUGUCAUGUGUGAACUGCAUCAUUGGAAAUUGGGCUGUGAUGGAUUUUCUGCAGGUACACUAACCUCGAAAACGUAUGUGUAGUUGACGACUAGCAAAAUACCGUGAGAGUCGUAAGUAUGCCACCGAUAUAUAACGUUAUUGCCACAUUAUGUUGGCAAAAAUCAGUGAGGACGUAUAGGACGAGCAUGCAUCCUGAUUGUUGCAUCAUGUUUGUCACCUAUACACCCAAAAUGCUUCUCUCAUCCUUAUUCUAGUAACCAUUGAUUGUAGAUAAUAUGGUGUAAUGCUGAAUUAUGAACUUCGAUAAAAUAGUUGUCCUCCGUUCCUUAGGUAUUAUGUUUAGAUGCUAUAUGUUUGCUCUUGUGCUUGAUGUAUCGAUAGAAGGUUAGUGACUUGUUUGCCUAAACCCAAAAUUAGGCCAUGUUCUUAUCUGGUAAACCUAGACCCAAAUUUGAAUUUACCAUUAUCCCUCCUUGACUAAACCCAUGCAAAUAAAUGCCUAGAUAACUUACUUGUUGAACAUAAAUUGUAUCUAGGCUUAAACCAAGAAUCUCGAGUCAUGUCUCCAUCCUAAACCAUGUCCUUGUUCGGUUGGUGCAAGCUGAUGUACCUUAUCCAGCUUGCCUGUUUUUAUGGACCGCCAUGUUACUUUAUCGACCUAACUUAGGAAAAGCAUGUCCGACCAUUUUCUUGAGUUUGAUGUCUUUAGUUUCCCCAUAGUUAUUGAAGACAUACUAACUUAAUCUUGUGAUUGUUUUCCCUCCGUAUCUAAUCAGAUACUAAUCCUUGUCCUCGUGAUCUCUAUGAUGGGCAUAGAAAUAUUCUUGGGCUAAAGCAACAGUCUCCCAUCAUACUCCUUUCAUCAAGUUUAGGUUAUGGCCAUGUCUUGUUCAUUUCCUUGGGCCAUAAUCUAUUUGGUUCUCUACUUGUAACCAUUCUUACAGGUGGAGUAUCUCCUUGUAUAAUGUCACCCUAGCCCAAUUCAUUUGUGUCGCGUGAGAUUUCUUACUGGUUAUGUCUAAUAAUGGUGUUGUGACUAAAACUGAUGGUGCCGCGACAAAAUCGAGGGCCUCCUGUGGAUGCAUACACAUGGUUGCGCUACUUGGCACGCGCUGGUAUCACAGUUAGUAGUCAUAAUCCAUUACGAGACUAUGUCAAUACGUUAUCUUGGCACAAUUUGUGUUUGCUACGUAAGAUUCGUUAUUGGUGCCAGUUCAGUAGUGGUGUCACGAUUAAGGACUUAUGGUGCCGCAGCGAAACUGAGAGCCCCUUGUGAAUGUACACGCAAGGUUAUGCUGCUUGGCGCAUGCUGGUAUCGAUGUCUCUAGUCAUGAUCCAUUGUGGAACUACACUGAUGUGUGAUCUUUCGUGGAGUCCUCCCUUGAAACAAAUUUUAUGUUGUUUGUCAAGUGAUCAAGCAACAUCUAUCAUCUUUGUUGGAUCAAAAGGGCAUACCACUUUCAUGUGUGGUCUCUUUUCUUUUGAUCUUGGUAGUGACUACUCAUACAAGUUCCCUUUACAUCCUUUGUGUAAAGGUGAAGCCUUGGAGCUUUUUAGUGUUGGAAAACAACUGAUUAGCUCUCAAAAAGGAGAUUGACUUUCUCUGCUGCUAAGAUGCAGGAGUUUGUUCAUUUGCUCUCUUAUUUAAUCCCUGUAUUCCCUAACCAAGUCGGUUCAUCUCGUAUAGAAGAAACGGAUGAACAACCAGACCAAAUGAAUUUCUGCCCAAAUGCAUGAUCAACUGUUAAUAAGAGUGAACUCUAAACCCUUGGACUGCCGAUGGUAUUGAGAGGACUUGCUCGAUGUCAAAAGUAGUUCAACAAGUUGGUUUUACUAACUUGUAACUGCUCAAUGAACGAAGGUUGAGUUUAGAGAUCGUUUUAUCGAUUUGCCUAAACUCACUUUGGUCCAACCCAUCCUUAGAAAGAACUUAAAAAAAAAUUAAGUUAAAUCGACUGAUAACCACCUAAUUAUCGCUCUAGUCGUGCCUUGAUCGCCUCGCGUGUGCUUUUCUAGCAUGAGUGAUCAGGUCGAGUCAUGCUUAGUGCUCGAUAAAAUGGAUUGGUUACGAAGGCAGUAUCUACAGAUCCCUUCGCUGGUGUUUUUUUUCGAGUCUAUCGUUUUCUUGGACUUGGAUUUUCUAGCUAACACGAGUUAACUGUGAUGUUAUUCGACAUUCACACCCGUCUCGUGUGCUAUGAACUUACUGUGACCACUUGUUGGUAAACCUCCUUUUGUGUGUUUUACCCAAGAUGGUGCAUCUGAUUCUGUUUGGGUAAACUCGCGUAUCUACCGCUCGCUCAACAGACUCAAAUAAUACAAUGUCAUCAGAAAAAGCAAACUGCACAUAUGGAACCUUAUGUGUUCUUCUGGCAAACAUCGUCUCUAUUGGUGGACAUUUCUAAAUUAGCCUAAGGCAAUACAUGUUAUGUCCACUGGAGAAACCACAUCCUGAGACACUCGCCUUUAAUUGGAAACGUCUCACGAUUAUCGCUGAUAUGAACAUGGGUUACAUACUUCUCUACCCUUAGAAGUCUUUCGCUCCGAAUCUCGGGACGAGAUUCUUUUAAGGGGGGAGGGCUGUAACACCCCAGGUGUUUAUAUUCUGCUCGACAACGAGUACGGAUUUAAGCACGUGAUAUCAGUAAAUAAGACGGACACUAGGGUCUAAUUAUUUUUGCCUAUCGCGAUUUUAAUAUCGCAUAUGUUCCGUCUGUCGCGAGUGCGACGUCGUUUUUAUUUUUAUCUAUCCGGGCUCUUUCGAAAUUUUCGUGUUGUCCGGAAGAUAGUCGUUCCGAAAAUCGGCGCGUCCGGUGAUUAUUUAAAAACUAUCGCUCGCGCGAAUACGAAUUCGGAAGCUCGACUCACUCGGAUGAUUUUUAUCCCGGGCAAAUUAGUUUGAACUCAACGACUAAAAUGUUCGGAGUAAAAUAAUUUGAAUCUCGCGAAAUCCUGCACGAGGUUAUGACCCACUUUAUUCUUCAGCACGUUGUUUUAGCGACGAAAACGAGGGUACAUUAACGAAUCGGGUUUCAGCUAAUUUCGGUCGAAUCACGCAGAACAAAUUAUCAGUACCGAAAUCAGUUUAUUUCAGUCUGUUGUUUCUCUCCCGGAUCCAAAUCUUCGGAUAUAAACAAUUAUUAAAUAAUUUGGUUCUCACUCGUCCACCGUGAAAUCGCGUACGAGAAUCUAUAAUUGAGCCUCGAUUCACUGGUAAGUUAUCCGUGGUUGUGGAACCAGAUGUUCUGACCUCAGGUAAAUUUAUCAGAUUUUGAAUCGAAGGGAACACAGUCCGAAAUAUGGUUGUUAAUAUCAUUCUAAUUUGUUCUGAUUAUGUAUCGUCCCGAUCUAAAAAUCUUGACUCAAAAAUAUCUGCGAUUUGUCGUUAAAAAAAAGGAAAAGGAAAUAUCCAUCUUCUCCACGCCGUUUGCUGGGGAAUAUUUUUUUUCCUCAACCUUGUCAAUACGGCAGUCGGCAGUUAUAGGUGUUCAUCUCUGCAGCCGUGAUUUUCCUGCCGCGAGCUCAUCUUCCCCAGAUUUUUCCCUCCGGCCGUUCAAGCGAUGGAUAUUUCAAGCCGCCCGUGGGUCUUGAUCUUUUCUUGGCGAUGUUCAUCUCCAGGCUGCCGCGCUUAUCUCCGUGAGAUAUUCCAGCGCCGCCCCCUGCUCUUUUUAAUGCGCGCGCAGCUUCUUCCCAGCCGCGCCUGCUCCUGGCGCUCCUCUUCCUCUCCCUGAGUUCCUUCCCUGCGCGUCGUGUGCCCAUCUCCUCCAGCGCCCUGCCCAGGUUCGACCAUGGCAUCCUCCUCUGUCGCGGUAUCCCGGCUCCUCGCCUAGGAUGGCGCUCGGUCGCCCGGCCAUCUAUUCCCCUUCCCAGCCGCGUCCUGUCGAGCUUAGCUCCGUGCGCGCGCGCUCUUCCCCCUUCCUGCCAUGGCCGCUCCUAUCUGCAGCUCGACCAGCCUUCUUCUCCCUGCUCGCCGAGGCUCCUGCUCCCAGUGUAGCGCUCCUCUCUCCUCCACCGCGCCGGACUUCCCUGCUCUCUGCUCCCUCGCGGCAGGCCGGCAACUUCCUCUCUCUCUGCUCGACCUUCCCAAACCCCAACACCGUCGAUCUCCUGCUUGUCCCUGCGCACGCGCCGCGGAUUUUCCUUGAGCUCCCUUGCGCGCUGGUCGCCUCUCCCUGCCCCAGUCCGUCUCCAAGCUCCAGCCGCGCCCCUGUCCCUGCUCUUAUGGUGGCGCCGGUCGGAUCUCCGCUGCUCGCCCAUGGCGCCCAGUCGAGGUUGCUCCCACGCGCGCCUCUGCUCCAGUUCUCGCCCGGGUCUGCAUCAGCAGGUCACCAGGGUCGCCUGAAGAUGUUUUCCCUAUUGCUCCUUGUCCACGGCCUUGGAACUCUGUAUUCUCAUCCGUAGUCGCCGGUUAUUAACCUCGGCGAGGUGCUCUCCAUCGUUUACAACCCCAGAGUCAUCGUCGUGGUUAGUCGUGGUCACGAUCUCGCCUUGCUGCCAUAGCCGCGCCUACUGCCGCGUCCGGCCUGCUCCCUUGUGCACGCUCUACUUCCUCGCCGAGCUCGUACCUGCGCGCCGAGAUCGCGUGCAGCUUUUCCAUCUCGUCGUUCUUCCCUGCGCGCGCAAGUUCUCUGUUGGGCGCGCGCGAAGCUCUCUGUUUGCCAUCAAAUCGCCUGUUCGCUGUCCGCAUCGACGAAAUUACCUCGCCGUGCGCUCUGGCAUCGGCUGCUGCCGACCCCGCCAUAAAGUUCACGAGCGCUCCUUGCUCGGCUCAUUUCACCGUGGGCAAUUUUUCCACGCCUCAAAUCCGUACUGCUUGCCCCGUGUGCGCUCGCUUUUCGUCCAUCGGGUUUUGCGCGUGCUCGCGUUUAUCGUCAAGUCGUCAAACCCGUCAUCCCUAGCUCGAUCUCCACUUCGCCAGCUCGCUCCAGACACAAUCUCGUCGCCGUUCCGUGCGUCGUCAAGUAAUCCCAAGAAUCAGGUGAAGACGAAGCUAGCAGCGCGAUAUUCCCCAAGCCCUCGACAAUUGCCUGGAUCAGAAAAUCACUACCGAUCUCGCGGAUUCGAGUCGGCUAUUGAAACGGUAAGCUGAUAAAUUAUCCAAAAUAGUUUGAUCGUUGUAUAAAUUGAUGUGCUAGUUCGAGGCGCAUUAAGGUGCUCGAUAAAUUGCGUAAGUCACGAACCUUUCGCCGACUUCGCAGUUCUUGCGAUUAUCGAGCCAGAUUCAGCUAUGGCGAAUUAUUUCGCUAUUCUAGUCACUUAGCUGAAUUAGUGGACCGAGUAGAAUUUUGGUAGGUAUGUGUGAUGUUAAAAUAUUUUAAUCACUUAUAAAGACAUAGAAUAAUUUAUAAAACAAGGGAUAAGGUUAACAUUUAAUCAAUUAGCUGGUGAGUUGUGUAGGCUAAUUUUAUUUAAUGUGUAUAGUUGUUGUUCGUGAUGUUUGCGAUAGGUUCGAGAAGCGUAAUUAUUGCGCUUAGUUAUACGCUGAUAACUAGUGUUUCCGAAUAAAACGGUACAACGCCUCGCCGCUAGGUGUUUAAUUCGCUAUCGCAUAACACUAUUUAGGUUUGUAAUAUUCAUGUUUAUAUGCAUUCAUAUGCAUAAUGCAUUUCAUUCAGGUACGUUAAUUAAUCGCGUGAUGCAGAAGAAAAACCAAGUCGACCCCAAGCGUGGGCUAAUCUGCAAGCUGAAGCUGAUGAAUCAACCUGAAGAUGGUUAAAUCAAGCAAGUGCUCGGUCAAAGAAUACUCGUCAAGCGGACGUCACCUAACAACACUAACCUAGUGUUACUCAGGCAAGCCCCGGUGCAUGCAACCCCUUUCCUUGUGUUUUUAAAUACUUUUCGCACACUUUAAGUCUAGUGAAAUGUGCAUUAAGUUUAUAGGAAUUGCUUGAAACCCUUUGAUGCAUUGCUUUCCUUGAUAUCCAUACCUUUAUCGAUACUUCUGUGAAGUAUCAAAAUUAUGAUUUACAAAAAUGCUUAACCUUGCUUAGAUCUUGUGGAUAGAGGUUGUCCUCAAUUUAACCCGGGAGAGGAUGGCUUCUACCUGCAAGAAUAUUUUCAUUUGGAGCAAUAGUGGGAUCUUACUGCAAAGUUCCCUGUGAUGCUCUUUCAUCCUAAGGAACAGACACAAUCCUAAGGAUGGAAAUACUUAAAUUGAGACUUGGGGUAGGAACAGGUGAUGUUCUACCCAGGUUGAUUAAGGAUUAACGCGUAUGUAGGCUUGAUGAUCGAGGACCCUUUAACUGGUCACAUGCCUCAUCAUGGGUAAGCCUUGCCUCGGGCAGACUAAGGCCGGAAUAAGAUAACACGAAAUGGGCGUGGAGCGGUGGCGAGAGUAGCGUGUACCCUCCGUGGCAAGAGGCUGGACGGUGCUGUAUCUGUGCUCUCGGUUUGCGUGAACCUGAUCCGGUCUUAAGAACCCCGGUGGCGGGUUGACAUAUGCAAGGGUUAAGUGCUACAUAUGUCGUGUGAUUGGAGAUCCUCAGCUGAGUAUAAUCGAUUCGGAUCGCCGUACCUUCGCGGUUAUGAAGACUUGGUCACUGCCCUGCAACCUAAAGUCAGGAUGUGAACACUAUGGAUAAAAAUGAUGUUGUAUUGAUGAGAUGGAAAUUAGACUAGAUGCAAAUGGAGUCUAUUAAUACUUAAUAUGGCGUUAAAAGAUUGAAAGUAAGGACUCACGUUAGUAAGCUACUUCUGCAAAAAUAUAAGUUGAUUUUUGCUAAAGCCUCUCCUUGACUCCUAUUUAUCCAGCAUACCCUUGAGAGUCUUUUCCUUAGUCGGGUAAGACUUGCUGAGUAAUUCCAUACUCAGGGUUUUAUUCCCUGUUGUUUUUCAGGUCCUAGUUUUGUGCUGCUGAUGAUGGUGUUAAGUGCCGGUGGGCUCGGCCUUCUUAUAAGUUUAAGUAACUCCCUUAUACUUCUUAUUGAGGAUGGUCUUUUGAGCUAGCAUAUAUUUCAAACUUAUAACCACUCCGAUAGAAUAAUAUAAAAUUUUUGUAACUUGUAAAAUUUGGUAAUAAGAUUUCCGCUGCAAUAAUAUUGUUGUGUGUGAUUUGUGUUACUUAAUCCCGCGGUUCUGGUUGUAAGUGGUUUAUCCGAUGUCCUUGGGGUAAUCGGACGGAUCCUGUUAAGUUAUUUGGUGCACAUGCAUAGUCGUCUGAGGUCUUUGAGACAAGGACAGGUGCAUGUGGGCCCAAUAACUUGGGAGG
rnacentral:lncRNA from 1 species